AUUGAACGCUGGCGGCAGGCCUAACACAUGCAAGUCGAGCGGUAGCACAGAGAGCUUGCUCUCGGGUGACGAGCGGCGGACGGGUGAGUAAUGUCUGGGAAACUGCCUGAUGGAGGGGGAUAACUACUGGAAACGGUAGCUAAUACCGCAUAACGUCGCAAGACCAAAGUGGGGGACCUUCGGGCCUCAUGCCAUCAGAUGUGCCCAGAUGGGAUUAGCUAGUAGGUGGGGUAACGGCUCACCUAGGCGACGAUCCCUAGCUGGUCUGAGAGGAUGACCAGCCACACUGGAACUGAGACACGGUCCAGACUCCUACGGGAGGCAGCAGUGGGGAAUAUUGCACAAUGGGCGCAAGCCUGAUGCAGCCAUGCCGCGUGUGUGAAGAAGGCCUUCGGGUUGUAAAGCACUUUCAGCGGGGAGGAAGGCGUUAAGGUUAAUAACCUUGGCGAUUGACGUUACCCGCAGAAGAAGCACCGGCUAACUCCGUGCUAGCAGCCGCGGUAAUACGGAGGGUGCAAGCGUUAAUCGGAAUUACUGGGCGUAAAGCGCACGCAGGCGGUCUGUCAAGUCGGAUGUGAAAUCCCCGGGCUCAACCUGGGAACUGCAUUCGAAACUGGCAGGCUAGAGUCUUGUAGAGGGGGGUAGAAUUCCAGGUGUAGCGGUGAAAUGCGUAGAGAUCUGGAGGAAUACCGGUGGCGAAGGCGGCCCCCUGGACAAAGACUGACGCUCAGGUGCGAAAGCGUGGGGAGCAAACAGGAUUAGAUACCCUGGUAGUCCACGCCGUAAACGAUGUCGAUUUGGAGGUUGUGCCCUUGAGGCGUGGCUUCCGGAGCUAACGCGUUAAAUCGACCGCCUGGGGAGUACGGCCGCAAGGUUAAAACUCAAAUGAAUUGACGGGGGCCCGCACAAGCGGUGGAGCAUGUGGUUUAAUUCGAUGCAACGCGAAGAACCUUACCUGGUCUUGACAUCCACAGAACUUUCCAGAGAUGGAUUGGUGCCUUCGGGAACUGUGAGACAGGUGCUGCAUGGCUGUCGUCAGCUCGUGUUGUGAAAUGUUGGGUUAAGUCCCGCAACGAGCGCAACCCUUAUCCUUUGUUGCCAGCGGUUAGGCCGGGAACUCAAAGGAGACUGCCAGUGAUAAACUGGAGGAAGGUGGGGAUGACGUCAAGUCAUCAUGGCCCUUACGACCAGGGCUACACACGUGCUACAAUGGCAUAUACAAAGAGAAGCGACCUCGCGAGAGCAAGCGGACCUCAUAAAGUAUGUCGUAGUCCGGAUUGGAGUCUGCAACUCGACUCCAUGAAGUCGGAAUCGCUAGUAAUCGUAGAUCAGAAUGCUACGGUGAAUACGUUCCCGGGCCU
rnacentral:rRNA from 1 species